rnacentral:rRNA from 1 species
AGUGAACGCUGGCGGUAGGCCUAACACAUGCAAGUCGAACGGCAGCACAGGAGAGCUUGCUCUCUAGGUGGCGAGUGGCGGACGGGUGAGGAAUACAUCGGAAUCUGCCCAGUCGUGGGGGAUAACGUAGGGAGACUUACGCUAAUACCGCAUACGACCUUCGGGUGAAAGAGGGGGAUCGCAAGACCUCUCGCGAUUGGAUGAGCCGAUGUCGGAUUAGCUAGUUAGCGGGGUAAUGGCCCACCAAGGCGACGAUCCGUAGCUGGUCUGAGAGGAUGAUCAGCCACACUGGAACUGAGACACGGUCCAGACUCCUACGGGAGGCAGCAGUGGGGAAUAUUGGACAAUGGGCGCAAGCCUGAUCCAGCCAUACCGCGUGGGUGAAGAAGGCCUUCGGGUUGUAAAGCCCUUUUGUUGGGAAAGAAAUCUUUCAGGCUAAUACCCUGGGAGGAUGACGGUACCCAAAGAAUAAGCACCGGCUAACUUCGUG